CGAUGAAAGAAAAGAAAGAACUCUCAUUUUUUUUCUUUUUUUUUUUUCAAUUAAUUCCCUCAAUAUAAUAAUAAU
rnacentral:ribozyme from 1 species